UUUUUUUUUUUGCUUUUUAGGGCCGUACCCACAGCACAUGGAAGUUCUCCUGCUAGGGGUCGAAUCGGAGCUGCAGCUUCCAACGUAUUCCACAGCCAUGGCAACUCUGGAUACAAGCUGUGUCUGCAAUCUAUGCCAUAGCCCACAGCAACGCCAGAUCCUUAACCCGCUGAAUGAGGCCAGGGAUCCUCAUGGAUACUUGUCAGGUUCCUAACUCCCUGAGCCACAAUAGAGUGUACUUCUAAAAGAUGCUUAUUUUCAGAGGAACAAUUUAAUUUACUGUAGAUUUAUUGCCUGGCUGACUAUCGAUUAUGCUCCAGGCACUGAAAACACAUUCAAUUUUGGUGACAAAGAAUACCUGCUUAUAUUCAAAUGACAACCAAAUUUAUCUUUGUACUUUAGGACAUUAGAUCUGUUGACCUUCAGGUUUCUGUGACUUUGUUUCUUUCAAAAUAAUUUUUUUGUGGGGGAGGCCUUGCCUGUGGCAUGUAGAAGUUCCUGGGCCAGGGCUCGAACCUGUGCCACAGCAGUGACCCAAGCUGAUACAGUGACAACUUUGGAUCUUUAAUCCGCUGUGCCAUAAGAGAACUCCCAAAUUAACUUUUCAAGUACAGUAAUGAGGCUUUCAAAAAACCAGAAUGUUGGUUGACUGACCGAUCACUGUUUGCUUUAUAGCACAGGUGCUAUUACUAUUUCUAGAUGGUAAGGAUUUCCCUCCAUUUGUGUUGUUUUUCUGUGCUGUCAGUUUUUUUUUUAGCCGUUAUCAUAUUUAUGUUCAGACAUGGCACUGAUUGUAAUUCCAGAGGAUGAGAAGAUGAGUUCUAAGCUGGAUUUACUCUAAGAGCUAGUAGCCUUUUUAUCUAUCAUUAAGUUUAGUAACAUGUCAGGUAGGGAGUUCCCUGGUGGUCUAAUGGGUAGAAAUCCCCACUUUCACCACUGGCCUGGGUUUAGUCCCUGGUGUGGGAACUGAGAUCCCUUUUGGAGAUGCUGAAUUUGCUGUGGCCAAAAAACAAAACAAGCCCCCUAACCCCCAAAAACGUAAGUAAGGUAAACUAGUGCUAUGUUUUAGAUACUAAUAGAAGUUUACCAAAAAAACAAAGCAAAGCAAAAAAGUUUACAAGUUAUUUUGUCAUCAGUUUUUUAAAGCUUUUAUUAGAAAUAACUUUUUCUUGACAAAACACUCAGUUUAGAUCUAUUUUGGUACCAUUGUUUGUUUUUGUUUGCUUUGUUUUAUUUUUCUUUUUUGGCUGCCUCAUAUGGAGUUCCCAGGCCAGAGAUCAGAUAUGAGGCACAGUUGCAGCCUAUGCUGAAGCUGUGGCAACACCAGAUCCUUUAAUCCACUGUACUGGACUGGGGCUCAAACCUUUGUCCUAGUGCUGCAGAGACGCUGCCCUAAGCAUGUGGUACUGUUCUGUAUUAUUUGUUUUGCCUUCUAGGGCUGCAUUCACAGCAUAUGGAGGUUCCCAGGCCAGGGUUCUAAUCAGGAGCUAUAGCUGCUGGCCACAGCCACAGCCACAUCAGGUCUGAGCUACAUCUGCAACCUACACCACAGCUCAUGGCAAUGCCGGAUCCUUAACCCACUGAGCGAGGCCAGGGAUCAAACCCUCAACCUCAUGGUUCCUAGUCGGAUUUGUUUCCGCUGCGCCAUGAUGGGAACUCCAUGGUACUAGUUUUUGAAACCAGUAUUUCUCUGUGUGAAAGGUAGGAUUAUGUGCUGGGAAUUCAUUGUUUUUUUAAGAAGUAUAAAUGUAUUUCAUGUUUUUGUUUAUGAAGUUAUUGCUUCAUUUUAACUUCUCCAAGAAACUGAUGAACAACUGAGACAUUUUUUGAUGACAAACACGGCAACAAUGGGUAGGAAAACCCUGUAUACUGUGUAUACAUAGCACAGAAUUGGUAGAAGAAGCAUUUGAACCAUAGUUUACACAAUGUAUCUGGGCAAGUUAAUUUAGGAGAAAAGUGGAUUCAGUGGAAGAUUGCCACAAAACAUUUUCCUUCCUUCCUUCGCCCCACCCAUUUUAGUGUUUUCUGCUUUUAGCAUGAGUUGGAGAAAGAUUUUUUUCCCCUACUCAAUUUUAUUUCCUUUUUUAUCCCUAUUUGAAAAACAGUUUCCCUAUGAGACAAAUCUUUGACCCUUUUGUAUUCUGUGUCCUCCCCUCCCUUUCCCUUUCUUGACUGGAAAAUGCAGCUGCACACAUUUUUUGUUUGGAGACAAUGGAUCACAUGCUGUGUCACCUAAAUCUAUGACCAAGAGGCAGUUUUAUCCCUAAGAGACCAUAAUGCUUCAGUUGUCCUGGAUACAUGACAUCAUGUAGCAUUAUAAUCAGAUAUACGUCUUUUUGCAGUAGUACAUUUGGGAUUUGAAUCUACCCUCUAAUCUCAAUAUUGGAUUUUAUAGGAUGGACAGUAUUUAUAAUAGAGAACCUUAAAACAAAGAAUGUAUUAUAGGGAAGGUUGUGAUUUCCUUUUAUAUGUCUUAUUUCUUUCUUACCUGAGGGUUACCGCAGUUAUCAGAUAACUUGGGUUAAUAGAAUAUCUUUAGAGUUCUAGUGUUAGAUUUGUGAACAAUGCCUUGCAAAUAUAGUAUGUGCUUAGUAAGUGUUACACUUUAUUAUCACUAUCAAUGUGAUAACAAGAAAAUUAUUUUUGUUAGUUAAGAAUGAGGAACUCUUUUGAAAAUAAUUAGUAUCUGUAAACAUUUUAUGUUGAGCUUCUUAUAAUAAGCUUAUUAUGCAGCUGAAUAAAUCUUGAAAAUAUAAUACUUUGCCUUCCAGUCUUGAGUAAUAGUACCUUUUGUAAUUAAUUAAUAAACAUAGUUUUUUUCCUAAGGAGAUUGAAGGUGAGGAAAGGAGGGGAAAAUUGAAUGGAAUUUCCUUUUAGUAUGUCUUAAUCAGGGACAAAGCUUAAAUUAUAGUAACGAAAUGCAGUUUGAUCUCUGGCCUUGAUCAGUGGGCUGAUGGUCCCGUAUUUGGAUCUGGUCAGGAACUGCAGCUCUGGUUCUCACCCUAGCUUGGAACCUGCAUAUGCUGCAGGUGUGUCCCUAAAAAUAAAUAAAUGAAUAAAUAAGUAAAUUAAGUACUGUAGAUACUAUCCUGAAAUUACUUACUUACAAUGUAAGUAAUAUUUUGAAAAUUGUUAUUUUGAACAUUGUGACUUGAUAAGAAUUCUGUAGAUCCAAGAUAGUAGAUUCUGAACUAAGUUGGAAUCAAAUAAAUAAAACUAUAUAUAGAUAUUUAUAAUCCUGUCCUGUUUUGAGUGUAGCAUUAUAUUUGCAACUGUAUCUUUUUGUUACUGCGAAUGUCAUUAGCCACUGAAAACUCAACAUAUUUUAAACAGAGAUACUGUAGUUAUUUACUUCACUUUUUUUUAUAAAUUCUUUUUUGUGUGUGUUAGAAUGUUAGCAUCAGACAGAGAUGUUAAAAGGCACUUAGACCCUUUUGGAGCCAUUAAUAACAAAAUACUAAAAAAGAGUUUUUUAAAAUUUAUAUGGUUUAAAUUCUUUUAUGUUAUUAAACUAGAAAGAUUUGAAGAAAAGUUCUGUCAUGUAGCAUGAUUGGUAAAAGAAUUGACAUAACAUAAUAAGUGAAGUUCAUGGAAACAGAAUAAGGAAGUGAAAGUGGCUAUUGCAGCUCUUCUGAGAAGUGCUAAUUUUAGUUGACUACCUUACAAGAGUGUGUCAUUGGUCAUAGGAAGAUUCGUCCUUAAUACUAGAUUUUUUUCUUUUUUUUAGUUUCCAAACUUCAAAACAUAUAAAGUAUUGGAGUUCCCUUGUGGCACAGUGGGUCCAUCAUUGUCACUGCAGCAGCUUGGGUUGCUGCUGUGGUGCAGGUUCAGCCCUGGCCCAGGAACUUCAACAUGCUGCGGUCCUAGCCAAAAAAUAAAGUUUUGUUACUGAUUUUAUACCCUAGUUUUUCUGUAUUUGAGAGAUAUAACAUUUAGAAAUCUACUACUUUAGGAAGAAGGCUAAUAAAAAUUUCUUAAAUUAAUAGCAGUAAUAAUUACCAUCUCUAUAACUAGUAUUCAUUGUGUACUUUCUAUCUUCAUUCUGAGUGCUUUAUAUUCUCAUUUAAUUGGUACUAACAGUCUUAUGAAAGUAGGCACUAUUAGAUUUAUAAAUUGAUAUGGCUUAGAGUCUGUUGAGUGGCAGAGCUGGGAUUUGAACCCAGGCAAUAUCUUAUGCUCUUUAACUCUCUGCUUCACCACUGCCAGAAUUAAUUAUAAGAUUAAGAAUAAUAAUUUAGAUUUUACUUUUGUGACUUUUUUAUAGUAUGAAAUUGCUUUAUCUUCCACAAUUUUAACUUCAAAUACACUGCCUUCUCAGUUUCUGUUCCAUAUCUUCUUUUUUUUUUUUUUUUUUUUUUUUUCUUUUUAUGGCCACACCUACAGCAUUUGAAAGUUCCUGGCCUAUGGCUGGAAUCAGAGCUGCAGCUUCAUGCCUGUACCACAGCCAUAGCAACACUGGAUCCAAGCCCCAUCUGCAACCUGCCAGAUCCUUAACCCACUGAGCAAGGGCAGGGAUGAAACCUGCAUCCUCACAGAGACAAUGUCAGUUCUUAACUUGCUGAGCUACAGAGGGAACUCCUGUAUCUUCUAGUGUUACAUAUAUUAAUUCCUUUCUCAAUAGAGAAGUCUUUCAUUUCAUAGUUGUGUACUAUUUUAACAUAGUGUGUACUAUUUUAACUGUGACAACAGAGCCAUGAGUGUGGUAGGAGUAAAAGAUUUCUUAUUGAAGAGUCUUGGAAAAGGACCAGGAGAGAUUAUUCUGAAUAGUAUAUAUCUCUCAUACUUUUCUUUAUCUUUUAUUCAUAUUAAGCAUAGAGAUAUUAUAAUCUAAUAUAGCUAAUAAGUUAGCUUUGGAAUAUAUUUUAAAUUCCUAUUUACAUUUAGAUACUUAUUAGAAUUCAUAAUGUAAUACAUUUUCUGCUUAACAGGAGAUUACUUACUCUGUAUCCUCAACUAUUAACCACAGUUAGACAAAAAGGGACUCCUAAGUAGUUGAGGGGAAAAAUUACAAAGUUGAUGCAUUAAAUUCAUGCAUGUCAAGGCGAACUCUUUAACCUUAUCAGAUUUUACUUGUAUGAAAUUCUAAUGAAACUUAAUCUGGCUUCCCAAUCUAUAGCUGAUAAUUCUUCUAUAAUUAUAUUUCUAUGGUUUUAGAAAUCCACAAUAUUCUGAAAGCCAAAAGUUUUCUCUUAACUCAUUUAGUGGUAAAACGUGGUAUAAACUGAUAUAAGACCGUUAUUGAUCUUUGUUCACUCUCCUCUUAGUGUGAAUAUACAUUUUGCUGCAGAAGUAUUAACAUAUUUAUUAUGGGGUGCUGUCUCAGACCUCACUGACACAUCAUAUAACAUAUUACAUGUAAAUUAUAGUCUUUUCCUAAAAUCCAAAAUAUUCUGAAUUCUGAAAUAUAUUUGCCCUCAAGGGCAAAUAUUUAAAAAUAUUUAUUUUUUAAAUUAAAAAAAAAUUUGCUUUGACCACAUCCACAGCAUGUGGAAGUUCCUGGGCCAGGGAUGGAAUCCAAAUCACAGUUGUGAUCUACACCACAGCAGUGGCAGUCCUGGACCCUUUAACCCACUGUGCCAGGCUGGGGACCAAACCCACACCUCCACAGCAACCCUAGCCAUUACAGUCAGAUUCUUAACCCACUUGCUAUAGCUGGAACUCCUCCAAGGAUUUUACAUAAGGGAUCAUAUACCUGUGUAAUCAGUACAGUGACUACAGUACAAUGGAGGGCUAGGAUAUAGAACUAAGAUUAAUCCAGUAACUCAGGCAUAACAAGUGAGACCUUUUAGUGUGGAGCAGUAUUUGCAACUAGAAUAAUACAUGAAUCCUUUUUAAAGAAAAAAAUUAUAGAU
rnacentral:lncRNA from 1 species